ensembl:snRNA U6 U6 spliceosomal RNA
GUGCUUGCUUUGGCAGCACAUAUUACUGAAAUUGGAACAAUACUGAGACAAUGAAUUUGAUCCCUGAAAAAAAGAUGGCACACAAAUUCAUGAAGCAUACCAAAUUAUU